UUGUGAUGCUGGUUACACGGGCAACCCGUAUGUACUCGGUGGCUGCUCGCGUGAUAACGGUAAUAAUCGAUUCACUUAUAAAUACACAAGUUUGCAUCUAUUCUUCCCUUGAUUUUUUAGUAUCUCACUUACAAUCAUUUUAGUUUCCACUUUUUUCAAAAUUUAAUAGGAUACAAUCCAUCAGCGGGACGAAAUGUGACGUGCACUCGGUCUUGUGGCCAAAUCAAGGUUCCCUUUCCAUUUGGACUAGAAGAUGGAUGUUCCGGGAAGACCGAAUUUAUACUAUCCUGCGACCCGUUAGAUUCCACGCUGAAUCUAGAAUUUGAAACAAAGGAACGUAUCACAAACAUCAAUAUAACUGAGGGGUUCUUGGACACCGAAGGUGUAUCUGGUGAUCAAUUGGAACCUUCUUUCUAUAACCAAUACUACAUUUCUGACAGAGACUCAAUGAGACUACGAUGGGUCAUCGCAAAUUUAACUUGCCAAGAGGCACAUCAAAAUAUAUCUACAUAUGCAUGUGUCAGCCACAAUAGCAGAUGCUUACACAGUGACUCAACAGUAAUGGGUGAUUUUGACGAGUGCAAGGUACCCGGCCUUUGUAAAGGUGUAUGUCACAACACUGUUGGAAGUUACUUUUGUACCAACUGCUCCGGUGUAUAUGACCCUGCAAAAAUGAAGUGUAUUGUAGGUAUCGCUAUUGGGCUUGGUAUUGGCUUUGGGCUUCUACUUCUUUGCUUAAGUGCAAUGUUUAUCUUUCGUAGAUGGAGAAGAGACAUCCAAAAGAAACUGAGAAGGAAGUGGUUUACAGAGAAUCAUGGCCUCCUUCUAGAAAAAUUAAUAGCAUCGAGUGAAGAUGGAAAUGAGAGGACAAAGAUUUUCUCUCUAGGAGAGUUAGAGCAGGCAACAAACAACUUUGAUCACACACGGAUCCUUGGUCAUGGAGGACAUGGCAUGGUGUACAAAGGUAUCUUAUGUGACAAGCGUGUGGUGGCUAUAAAGAAAUCUAAGGUCAUCAAGCAAGGCGAGAUUGACCAGUUCAUCAAUGAGGUUGCCAUCCUUUCACAAAUCAACCACAGGAACAUCGUAAAGCUUUAUGGCUGCUGCCUUGAAACUGAGGUCCCACUGCUUGUGUAUGACUUUGUUCCUAAUGGAUCCUUGUUUGACAUAAUUCAUUCUGAUCCAAGCAACAAUGUUUCUUUGUCCUGGGAUGGCUGCCUAAGAAUUGCUGCGCAAGCUGCAGGAGCUCUCUAUUAUCUUCACUCUGCAGCUUCCAUAUCAGUUUUCCACCGUGACGUCAAGUCUUCCAAUAUACUCCUAGAUGCAAACUACACUGCUAAAGUUGCUGACUUUGGUGCAUCAAGAUUGGUGCAUAUAGACCAGACUCAUGUUACAACACAUGUACAAGGCACAUUUGGUUACUUGGAUCCGGAGUAUUUUCGCACUGGGCAGCUAAAUGAGAAGAGCGAUGUGUACAGCUUUGGUGUCCUGCUUUUAGAGCUACUUCUUAGAAGGAAGCCUGUUUUUACCAAUGAGUCAGGAUCAGCUCAGAGUUUAUCUAGUUACUUUCUUGGGGAGAUGCAGGCAAGACCAAUAAGUGAGAUAGUUGCUGCUCAAGUUCGUGACGAAGCAACCGAGGAAGAAAUUAUCAGUGUUGCCUCCCUUGCAGAGAUGUGUCUACGGAUCCAGGGCGAGGAAAGGCCUACGAUGAAGGAAGUAGAGAUGACUUUGCAGCUUCUGCAUACGAAACGUUCGAUGUCAUCUCAUGUCACUCCAGAAAAUGGACGAGCUGAACCUAGUGUCCCGUCUCACUCAGGUAAUGGAGUCGAUCCAGCCUCUGCAGACAGUCAACGAUGUUAUAGCUUGGAGCAAGAGUUCUUAUCAUCUGCUAGCUUGCCGCGCUAA
rnacentral:rRNA from 1 species